GGCCGGUACAUUUACACACCUCAAACAGCUAGCAAUAACUUUGUCAUAUCUUGUGAAAUUUUAAAUCACACUAGGAUGUUUCUUUUCCUGUUCUUUUUCCUCUUUCCGGGGAAAAAAAAAAAAAGGACUAGCCUUCAGAUUCACAAAUUUCCAGAGUCUGACUGUCAACCCUCAACGGGAAACAGUUUCUUUUCCCCUACUUUUUGGUAUUUUUGGGAACAACAUAUUGUACGGGUGAAAAAACCAGAAUUUUCGUCAGAGCUUCAAGCCAUCCCGCGCCUUCCAUCUGCUGCAUAAGUCAUCAAUUUUCAAAGUAGCUUAAGUAAUUUCCCAUCAGCGAGCCCACUCAAGUAUCAGUUGAAGUUACAGACAGACUGCCGCUAACCAAUGAAACCCAUGUUAACACACAAUUGUCACUCUGAAAUCCGGAGAUUCUUAUCAAGCAAGCACAUAUGAUUGUCAUCAAGAUCUCUUUAACCAAGUGGCUGGCCCUUCCGUUGGUGAGCUACCUACCAUAUGAUCUCCAAACCUCUCUCCAUUGUCUCCUAGUGCCGCUUCUUUCAAAUUGAUAGUUGUGAGCAUCUGUGCAUGUUCUAUAUGCGCUGCUUCCACUCUCUCUCUUUUUGGCAUUCCUCUUCUCUUCUUCAAGAUCAUACUGUGAGCGCUUAGUAGGGUCUGAAAGUACUGCAUAUGCCUCCCCAAUCAU
rnacentral:misc_RNA from 1 species